rnacentral:rRNA from 1 species
GCAGCUUGCUGCUUCGCUGACGAGUGGCGGACGGGUGAGUAAUGUCUGGGAAACUGCCUGAUGGAGGGGGAUAACUACUGGAAACGGUAGCUAAUACCGCAUAACGUCGCAAGACCAAAGAGGGGGACCUUCGGGCCUCUUGCCAUCGGAUGUGCCCAGAUGGGAUUAGCUAGUAGGUGGGGUAACGGCUCACCUAGGCGACGAUCCCUAGCUGGUCUGAGAGGAUGACCAGCCACACUGGAACUGAGACACGGUCCAGACUCCUACGGGAGGCAGCAGUGGGGAAUAUUGCACAAUGGGCGCAAGCCUGAUGCAGCCAUGCCGCGUGUAUGAAGAAGGCCUUCGGGUUGUAAAGUACUUUCAGCGGGGAGGAAGGCGAUAAGGUUAAUAACCUUGUCGAUUGACGUUACCCGCAGAAGAAGCACCGGCUAACUCCGUGCCAGCAGCCGCGGUAAUACGGAGGGUGCAAGCGUUAAUCGGAAUUACUGGGCGUAAAGCGCACGCAGGCGGUCUGUCAAGUCGGAUGUGAAAUCCCCGGGCUCAACCUGGGAACUGCAUUCGAAACUGGCAGGCUAGAGUCUUGUAGAGGGGGGUAGAAUUCCAGGUGUAGCGGUGAAAUGCGUAGAGAUCUGGAGGAAUACCGGUGGCGAAGGCGGCCCCCUGGACAAAGACUGACGCUCAGGUGCGAAAGCGUGGGGAG